rnacentral:misc_RNA from 1 species
AAGUCGUAACAAGGUAACCGUAGGUGAACCUGCGGUUGGAUCAUUACUAAAUGAUGGUCUAUAAGCUUGAGCUUUACUUUUCAGUGUUGCUCGCUUAUAGAUUCUUUCAACACUUUGUGAAUUUGUGACUGUUUUUUGGGUUUGGACUGUAUGGUUCAGACCCAAACUUUUAUCAAACCAAUCUAUUUUUUUAGCCUGAUUUCUAAUGUUAAAUGAUUAACAACUUUUGACAACGGAUCUCUUGGCUCUC